CCUGACCUGCCCCUGUAUCUGGGCUUUGCAAGUAAGUUCCUCUGGGAGGAGCAGGGUCAAUCUAAGUUUACUGUGUAGACAACAAAAUGGCUCCUUCUGAUUAAGUAGACCCUUACAUUCCUCCCUUGAAGAGGCUGCAAUUGCAGG